AACCGAUAAAGGCAUACCUGCCGAAAGGCAGGGACGCAAAACCUCAGGCCUACGGAGUCAAAUCAUUCUAUGGCGGCUGGGUUACCGAA
rnacentral:ncRNA from 1 species